rnacentral:rRNA from 1 species
GUCGAGAAUCUUUCACAAUGGGGGCAACCCUGAUGGAGCGACGCCGCGUGGAGGAUAAGGUCUUCGGAUUGUAAACUCCUGUCAUGCGUGAACAAGGUUGCUUGGAUAAUACCUGAGCAAAUUGAUGGUAGCGCAAGAGGAAGAGACGGCUAACUCUGUGCCAGCAGCCGCGGUAAUACAGAGGUCUCAAGCGUUGUCCGGAAUCACUGGGCGUAAAGGGUGCGUAGGUGGCGUGGCAAGUCAGAUGUCAAAGCCCGGGGCUCAACCUCGGAAAUGCAUCCAAUACUGCCAGGAUAGAGUACUGGAGGGGUGACUAGAAUUCUCGGGGUAGCAGUGAAAUGCGUAGAUAUCGAGAGGAAUACCAAAGGCGUAGGCAGGUCACUGGGCAGUUACUGACACUGAGGCACGAAGGCCAGGGGAGCGAACGGGAUUAGAUACCCUAGUAGUCC